rnacentral:rRNA from 1 species
AUUGAACGCUGGCGGCAGGCCUAACACAUGCAAGUCGAGCGAGCGGCGGAGGGGUGAGUAAUGUCGUAGAAACUGCCUGAUGUAGGGGGAUAACUACUGGAAACGUUAGCUAAUACCGCAUACGAUCAUAUGUGCCGAGAGGGGAUGAGCUAGUAGGUGGGGUAACGGCUCACAUAGGCGACGAGGCCUAGCUGGUCUGAGAGGAUGACCGGCCACACUGGAACUGAGACACGGUCCAGACUCCUACGGGAGGAAGCAGUGGGGAAUCUUGCGCAAUGGGCGAAAGCCUGAUCGAGCCACGCCGCGUGUGUGAAGAAGGCUUUCGGGUUGUAAAGUUCUUUCGGUGGGGAAGCGUUACCCACAGAGGAAGCACCGGCUAACUACGUGCCAGCAGCCGCGGUAAUUC